rnacentral:lncRNA from 1 species
CCAAAGUAUGAGUUUCAAAACAUAAUAAUUGAAAGUAUAAUCACUGCACAGGGUACCAACAUAGCCAGAUCUGAUUCAUUACAAAUUGUUACAUGGAGUUAUACAAGUAGGUGCUAGAACAAAUAUUGGUUUUUUCAAGGCGAAAUCGAUUGUGGAAUAACGAUGUUUCCAAUGUUGUUGUGCCAUGGGUCAGCCAAGUGAGUAGCCAAGUUCUCCAAAGGUCCAGUUCCAGGAUAAGCUGAUUGUUGAACACAAAUUCCCACAAAAGCCAACAGAGCAAGACGUCCUAAACAUUUGACAUACAACAAAAUUUGGUCAAUUUUCUAUGUAACAAACAAAAGAUGUUUUUUCAAAAGCAAGUUUAUCUCAAGGACUAAUUGUUGGAGAUCAUAAGAUUCUUUUAGGAGUUAACUUCAACCUCUAAGUGUUUUUCAACACAUAUCAGAUGCUUAAGAAACUUUAGUAACAUCAAAUAACUGAUGCUUAGGGUCCUUACCAUUCUUAAUUUCUUUGACUUUGUAUUCAUGGAAACUUUUAGGGUCCUUGGAGUAUCCCAAAGGAUCAAAAGCACCACCAGGGUAUUUCUUCUUCUCUGGGUCUUUCUCCAUGCUCCUUUGGUGCUCCACAAAGGAAAUGGCAAGGAAUUCAAUGACCAGAAUGGUGGGUAGUGUGCCCCAUGGAACUGGGUUGCCUAGGUAGGUGGCUUGCCCCCCUGGAACUGCAGCCCAUUCCUGAGCCUUUACCCAGUUUCCUAACCCCAAUGCCUCUGGAACCAAAAUCCCUGGCUGCA